UGGGGAAUAUUGCGCAAUGGGCGAAAGCCUGACGCAGCGACGCCGCGUGAGGGAUGACGGCCUUCGGGUUGUAAACCUCUUUCAGCAGGGACGAAGCGAAAGUGACGGUACCUGCAGAAGAAGCACCGGCCAACUACGUGCCAGCAGCCGCGGUAAUACGUAGGGUGCAAGCGUUGUCCGGAAUUAUUGGGCGUAAAGAGCUCGUAGGCGGUCUGUCGCGUCGGCUGUGAAAACCCGGGGCUCAACCCCGGGCCUGCAGUCGAUACGGGCAGACUAGAGUGCGGUAGGGGAGACUGGAAUUCCUGGUGUAGCGGUGAAAUGCGCAGAUAUCAGGAGGAACACCGGUGGCGAAGGCGGGUCUCUGGGCCGUAACUGACGCUGAGGAGCGAAAGCGUGGGGAGCGAACA
rnacentral:rRNA from 1 species